UACGUAGGGGGCAAGCGUUGUCCGGAAUCACUGGGCGUAAGCGCGCGCAGGCGGUCAUCUACGUCUGGGGUGAAAGCCCGGAGCUCAACUCCGGGAUUGCCUUGGAUACGGGAUGACUUGAGGAUCGGAGAGGCAGGGGAAUUCCACGUGUAGCGGUGAAAUGCGCAGAUAUCAGGAGGAACACCGGUGGCGAAGGCGGGUCUCUGGGCAACAACUGACGCUGAGGAGCGAAAGCGUGGGGAGCGAACAGG
rnacentral:rRNA from 1 species